CAACCUGCCUUUUUAGAGGGGGAUAACAUUUGGAAACAAAUGCUAAUACCGCAUAAGAUUACAGUACCGCAUGAUACAGUGAUCAAAGGAGCAAUCCGCUGAAAGAUGGGCUCGCGUCCGAUUAGAUAGUUGGUGAGGUAACGGCUCACCAAGUCGACGAUCGGUAGCCGGACUGAGAGGUUGAACGGCCACAUUGGGACUGAGACACGGCCCAG
rnacentral:rRNA from 1 species